CCUACGGGAGGCAGCAGUGAGGAAUAUUGGACAAUGGACGAAAGUCUGAUCCAGCUAUGCCGCGCGCAGGAUGACGGCCCUAUGGGUUGUAAACUGCUUUUAUACAGGAAGAAAAAAUCCGACGUGUCGGAACUUGACGGUACUGUAAGAAUAAGGAUCGGCUAACUCCGUGCCAGCAGCCGCGGUAAUACGGAGGAUCCAAGCGUUAUCCGGAAUCAUUGGGUUUAAAGGGUCCGUAGGCGGUUUUUUAAGUCAGAGGUGAAAUCCUGCAGCUCAACUGUAGAAUUGCCUUUGAUACUGAAAGACUUGAGUUAUUGUGAAGUGGUUAGAAUGUGUGGUGUAGCGGUGAAAUGCAUAGAUAUCACACAGAAUACCAAUUGCGAAGGCAGAUCACUAACAAUAUACUGACGCUCAGGGACGAAAGCGUGGGUAGCGAACAGGAUUAGAUACCCUGGUAGUCCACGCCGUAAACGAUGGAUACUAGCUGUAUGUCUACUUCAGGUAGAUGUGUGGCUAAGCGAAAGUGAUAAGUAUCCCACCUGGGGAGUACGAUCGCAAGAUUGAAACUCAAAGGAAUUGACGG
rnacentral:rRNA from 1 species